ensembl:lncRNA
CAUGCUUUCCAAGGACCAAGUGCUAUAGUUCAGAGCUUGGGUAAAUGUGCAACCACGCUGCUUCCUCAGUGCUCCAAACAGAGAGAAUUCUUAUGCAAAUUUAAGAAUCUGCCCUUGUGGAGAGGAGCGAUCUCCUUUUACAACUGUCUGGGAUUUGUAUGGAGGUGGAAUUCGGCAGUUACAGAAAACCAGUAGGAGCCUUCUGAGCUCACAGAACCUCCAGAACAUCAGCUGGAAGUGCAGUGGCUGCAUCUGGAGACCCUGUGCCCCAGUCCUCGGGCUGAGCUUUGAAGAAGAGACCUCCAGCAGCACUGGUGAGUACAGAGAUGGCCACGGAGACAGAAAUGAAAGCGGCAGAGCACCGCGAGGGCACAGCCGAGGCUUGUGGAGACAGCGCUCCAACUCUCCAGACAGCACCUAUGAAUUAAGGAAGUCCAUGUGGAAAGAAGAGAGGAAUGCAAUUGAAAAAAAAACAGAAUGGAGACCACAGAUCAGAAGCUGUCAAGCAGUUUCCCUGAGAUCCUGCCCUGCUCUGACGUCACCUACACUUGCAGCAAGAGGAACCAGGCUGACAUGGACCAGUCAGAGGGAAAGAGGGCACAGAGGCCCUAGACUAGAAAAAAUUUCUCUCUUGUUUGGCCAAAAGGCUGGGUGUGGACAGAAUGGGAGACCAGGCAGCUUUCCUGGAAUAAGCAACUAUUUCUUUUGAUCCUCUGUGUUCUGGCCAUCUUUCUGGGGAACUUGAAAAAGUUUUCUGAAUUUAGGUUCCCAGUCAUUUCUAUACUUAGUCCUUAUUCUUGAUUGAAUCCAUUCUAGAACAAAAAGGCAAAUUUUACAGCAAUGUUGAUAAUCAGAGCUGUGUACACCAAGGAAAUGAAUACCUGUUAUCAAAAUGUUGGAAUCCUUCUCUAACACUUGAUAACAAACCCCUCCUCUGAGUCCCCAGCAUGUCGCUACUGCCACCGUGGCCACCCUGGCCCUAUUCCUAAAAUCUUUUGCAUCACCCCAUAUGGCAGCUCUUAAAGAAGCAACGUCUGGCCUCAGUAGAACGUGCCCCACAGUCCUGCUUCACCACCCCAUGACCGAUGUUCUUUCUAAUUGGCUGGUUCUUGGCUUUUAUAGCUAAGUUUAUUGCAUAUUAGCCUUGUAUAAAGAUCCCAGAAAAUAACAGGCAUGAAUCAAGUGGGCGGGUGUAGCACAAUGGGAAGUAAUGGGAAAUGUGGGAACCUGGAGGGCUCCCACCUCUUAAAGAAGCAGUUGCUAUGUUGUCGUUGCCAUGGGGGAAUGUAGGCUGAAGGUGCUAAAUCUUCUGUACUUCAAGAGAAACCAGAAAUUGUGCUUUUAAUAAAAAAUCUCUGAUUUCUUAACAUUGAGGUACCAUCAGUGUUGGCCUGCUAUUGUGUGGGCCCAGCUAGACUGGAUAGGCUCCAUGUGUCAUGAGUUUGCAACCCUGCUUUAAGCAUGUGGAGUUGUCAGAGCCUUCUUAUGCCUCACUCAUGAAACAGGCCAGAGGGAAGAUGCGGCCCUAUGGCUGGGUAAUUAAAUAUAAUUUCAAAUUGAAACUUUGAAGCAGUAAGUGAAAUUUAUAAUUACAGCAAUCUCCUUUUUUACUGUACUUUAGAUUUUGCCAAGUGUUAUCAAAUAUGGCAUUUGAGGCUUUCCCUGAUAAUCAGGGUACUACUAUGUGUUUUAAGAGUUGAAAAAAUCCACAUGGAAAGAUUAUGAAAAUUGCCAAAUAGCAUCCAGAUAUAUUCAGAAUUGGGUCUUCACUUUAGUACCAUUGAAUUGAUCCUUCCAAAACAUUUGUUUAAAAUGUCUAUUAUACCUUCAGUCUUAUAGAUAUACCAGAUGUAACACCAGGUAAUUAUUCUAGAACGAUAGCCUUUUGGACCCUAUUUCUCAUACUCAUUUGAAGUGAUCCAUCAGUAUAUGCAAAACAUGUCAUGAAGGUCAAAACAUGUGUUUGGAAUAGAUUACAUUAUUGUUACCAGCUCUUUAAUAAAAUUAUACAUCAAGUUCUUAGCCAUGUGAACUUUAAGUUCUUUCAGAGUGAUCAGAGCAGAAUUUCUUUGGCGAAUGGCCGGGGGUGGGAGUCAUGUGCCAGUCCAUAGCGGAGGGUUAAGAGGCAUUCAGUGUUUUCACUGUGUCCCCUUCAGCUUCUGUAAUUUGCUCUAAGAGGAGAUUGUCCUAGUUCUCUAUUCCUGCUUCACCGCAGAUGGACACAUAUGGUGCAGACACAGACCUGACCUAGAGCCUGGAACCACAUCCAGCUCAACUCAGCA